AGUAGUGAUACGCUCAUUUUGAGGAUUAAGCCAUGCAAGUGUAAGUACAUGCACUUGCGUUUGGCUCGCUUGCUGCUAUUGGAGUCGAGUUGUGCAUUUUAGCGCUUGCUGAAACUGCGUACGGCUCAGUACAAGGACCAGAAUGUUUAUGGGUUCAUUCAGCUUGCUGCGGUGGAUACCUUUGGUAAACCUAUAGCUAAUACAUAGGUUUACCAAUAGGUUAUCAAAGACCGUUGCUGAUGUGACUUAGCUAAAACAUGGUCGCCCGAAGGCACACAUUAGAAUACCUUACCUUCAUUAGGAAGGGACCUCUUUGUUGCUGGUUUAUCUAUCAACCUUGACGGUCUGUUAAAGGCACAAAAUGGUUGCCACGGGUAACGGGGAAUCGGGGUUUGGUUCCGGAGAGGGAGCCUGAGAAAUGGCUACCACCUCCAAGGAAGGCAGCAGGCGCGAAAAUUACCCAAUACCGACAUGGUGAGGUAGUGAAAAGGAAUGACGGUGCGGGACUCAUCCGAGGCCCCGUAAUUGGACCGAGCGACAUGUAAACGCUUUAACUAUACCAUUGGAGGGCAAGUCUGGUGCCAGCAGCCGCGGUAAUUCCAGCUCCAAUGGCGUAUAUUAAUUCUGUUGCGGUUAAAAAGCUCGUAGCCGUAGAUCGAAUAGUCGUAUUAGCAGAGCUCCUCGGGGCUUCUCUAGUGCGCUGUUCCCUGGUCAGAGUUUUAUUUGUUUAGAACCGCGGUUCGUGCUGCUUGCUCUUUACCGAGUGGCCGGGCGAAUCGACCAUGCUACCUUGAUCAAAGUAGUGAGAUCAAAUCGAGUCAUCGCCUGGAUAUUUAAGUAUGGCAUAGCAUAAUAUGGUGCAAUUGAGUGACCUUUAGCCUCUAUUCACAAUGGUGAUUGGGGAUAGGGUAGGUUGCCGGUAUUGACCAGUUAGAGGUGAAAUUCGGGGACUUUCUAAGACUGACUGGUGCGAAGGCGCGCGUCACUGGUACACCCCUCGGUCAAGAACGAAAGUCAGAGGCUCGAAGGCGAUCAGAUACCGCCCUAGUUUUGACCGUAAACAAUGCCAGCCUGGCAUUAGAGGGGGUUCGACAUAAACUUAUGUAGAACCUAUCGGGAAACCAAAGCCUAUGGGUUCCGGGGGUAGUAUGGUUGCAAAGCUGAAACUUAAAGGAAUUGACGGAAGGGCACCACCAGGAGUGGAGCCUGCGGCUUAAUUUGACUCAACACGGGGAAACUUACCAGGACCUGACAUGAGAAUGAUUGACAGAUCGAUAGCUCUUUCUUGAUUUCAUGGAUGGUGGUGCAUGGCCGUUCUUAGUUGGUGGAGUGAUUUGUCUGGUUAAUUCCGUUAACGAGCGAGACUUUAUCUUACUAAAUAGACGAUUUAGCAUACACAGGAGGGCUUGUCAAUAGCUCGCAAUGCCUGUCUCUUGUAGACUAGGUUUUGUGGUUGUUGAAAGCACCAUUCUUGCUGCCAACGUUUACCCUCUUCUUAGAAGGAUCGGCUACAUAUAGUAGUACGAAACAGAGCAAUAACAGGUCUGUGAUGCCCUUAGAUGCCCUGGGCUGCACGCGCGCUACAAUGAUUAAGGCAAUGGGUCUUCCCUGGCUGCAAGGUGUAUUGGGGAAUCCUUUGAAUCUUAUUCGUUGUUGGAAUUGAGGUUUGCAAUUGCUCCUCAUUAACCGGGAAUGCCCAGUAAGCGUGUGUAAGCAGCUUGCGUUGAUUAAGUCCCUGCCCUUUGUACACACCGCCCGUCGCUACUACCGAUUGAGUGUGUUAGUGAGAGCUUCGGAUCGUUAAGUGAACGUCGCUAAUAGGUCGUCACCGUAAAACGUGACGAACUAGACAAUACAUUUUGUUAAAAGAUGGUCAAACUUGCUUUCUUAGAGGAAGUAAAA
rnacentral:rRNA from 1 species